GACGAACGCUGGCGGCGUGCCUAAUACAUGCAAGUAGAACGCUGAAGGAGGAGCUUGCUUCUCUGGAUGAGUUGCGAACGGGUGAGUAACGCGUAGGUAACCUGCCUGGUAGCGGGGGAUAACUAUUGGAAACGAUAGCUAAUACCGCAUAAUAGUAGAUGUUGCAUGACAUUUACUUAAAAGGUGCAAUUGCAUCACUACCAGAUGGACCUGCGUUGUAUUAGCUAGUUGGUGGGGUAACGGCUCACCAAGGCGACGAUACAUAGCCGACCUGAGAGGGUGAUCGGCCACACUGGGACUGAGACACGGCCCAGACUCCUACGGGAGGCAGCAGUAGGGAAUCUUCGGCAAUGGACGGAAGUCUGACCGAGCAACGCCGCGUGAGUGAAGAAGGUUUUCGGAUCGUAAAGCUCUGUUGUAAGAGAAGAACGAGUGUGAGAGUGGAAAGUUCACACUGUGACGGUAUCU
rnacentral:rRNA from 1 species